rnacentral:misc_RNA from 1 species
GCAAACUUGGUCAUUUAGAGGAAGUAAAAGUCGUAACAAGGUCUCCGUAGGUGAACCUGCGGAGGGAUCAUUAACGAGCGAGGGCCGCGAGGCCCGACCUCCCACCCGUGCCGUCCAGACAGCCCGUGCCUCGGGGGCGCGGUGCCGGCCCUAGGGCUGCGCACACGCCCCCGGCGGAACACACGAACCAGCGCUCUAUGCAGUCGAGUCGAUUCGGGAAAAUACUGAACAAAACUUUCAACAAUGGAUCUCUUGGUUCUGGCAUCGAUGAAGAACGCAGC